GCUUCUCGCGUCUUCGUUUAUUUGAUGCGCAGAAACAGAUAAGAGGGUGUGCAGAAACAGCUUAGAGAUUGAUAGAGACAGAGAGGUUAUUUGCUUCGCAGAGAGAGAUAGAGAGAUAGAGAGAGGUGUUGGUUUCCGGUUGUUUGCUUGAUCUGUGCAGAAAGGGUAGAUAAUUCUGGGGCUUUUCGGAAUUGAAGGAGGACGAACACAGUAUUAAGUUUGGGUUACCUCUGGAGAAGCUACAUAGGUUGCUGCUGGGUUCUGAAGAUCUUUGUUGGCAAAACGAAUAUCAAUAGAUAUGGAAACUUACUCGAAUGCGGUGUUAGGGACCCUUGGCGUUCUAUGAGGACUUCAUCCCAAAUUUUGGACGGCUAGGAUCUUGAAAUGUGAUUAGGUUUCUAGCUUUGAGCAGGGAUUGAAGCAGAAUUUCCAUGGCAAGAGGAAGCAAAAUUCAAUCACAACUCUGAAUUUUCAAAGGAGCGAAUGAGAAACAGACAAUCUAUUCUGGAUCUGCUUGACAAAGGAACUGGAAGAGAAAGUUCAGAGUUUGCUGGUUUCAUCUUCAAUAGCCGUCGAUCGCAACCAUACCAAGUUUUUGGUGCAGUGCUGCAGGCAUAUACCAAUUUCUUUCAAAAAAAAAGAAGAAAUAGACAUUGCAGCCUUCAAUGGGGAUCCCAUCAUUACAACUCAUGCAAGCAAGUUAGUGCUGUUGAAAUCAAAUUCACACCAUCCAGAAUAUUACAUACUAGCAAGUAACAGAAGUUGCAGUUUGUCUCUUUCCUCAUCAAAAGUGAAGUUGAAGGCAUAUGCUGAUCGAGCUUCAUGAGGAAGAAGCAGUCGAACUGACGUUCCAUAAUUAGAAGCAACUUCUUCAAAUGCAAGCAACUAAUGCAACAGUGACGAUAAUUGACAACUAUGUAUGGACCCCAGCGGAUAUAUCACUCUUUUAGGCGGAAAUAGGAAUCCUCUGACACUAUCAGAGGCAAGAAAUCUGCAAGGAUAAAUAUACCCUCCUCUGUGCUCCAUAGCUCGGCUUCUUCUGUUGGUAGAUAUUGAUGUAUUCUUUUUAAUUAUAAGUCAUCCUCACUUGCAGAGAGAGAACAGUAGUAGUUUUAUUUUUCUACUAUAAAACACCACUUUUGUGUCAUAUGUAAAAUCAAAACAGUUUCAAUUAACAGUUUUUAUCUUACAAUUGUGACUAUUACGAACAAAUUAGAGAGAAGAAAAAACAAACCCGCAGCAUCGCGCGGGAAUGUUGUCUAGUUAGAAUUUAAACUUCAGAGUGUUUAAAAAUAAAAGAUGAUUAAUAAAACUACAGAAUAUAUGGGAGACAUACUUUAGUUUACAAACAAUCACACUAAUAAAUUUGAAAAUUUAGUUUAAAAAAUUCAAAACAUUAUGUAUUGUUUUCUUCAAAAUCAUUUGUUAAUUGUUAUAAACACACAUUACUACUUCCUAUCAAAAAAAAAUUUAGUUAGUUUGUUAUUAUUUGGAUUAAAUACUUGUUACUUCCUGUACUUUGCUCUAGAAAACAGUUCAGUCCCUCACCUUUUAAAUUAAACAAUUUAAUCCUUAUUCUCUCGAAUUCUCACACAAUAGGUCUAAAAUGACUAUUAUACCUCUCACUUUUUUUUGGUCCUCUCUCUUUUUCUAAUUUUUCUCUCUUUUAUUUGUUUAUUCUCUCUCUCUCUCUGCACGCAACGCAAGGCAAGAGCAAAAUGAGGCAGGGAAGCCCCAAAGAAGACACUGGUGUUUCUUCAACUUUAGAGUCAUCCUCCAAAGAAGGAGGAUAUGGAGGAGGAGGAGGAUUCUGUCGGUCUCACCUAAAGCAGCAAUUGCACCAUUGUCGUCACCGGAGUUGCUCCAAUUCCCCAUCUCAUCACAAAUGCCUCGCCGCCGAGGAUUUUGCCAGAAUCGCGCUCCUCACCCUACUUCGACAACCUCCAUCAUCGUAGAUUUCUCAGCGAAAAGUGAGCUCAGAGCAAAGCAAAAUGGGAGAAACUCAAAAUUGGGUUGGUGGGCAUCAUCGAGUUCGAGCUCCAAGUUGUACUCUGAGUUCUCCGGGUCGAGGUCGUUAUGACCGACAUCACAGUUUGGGCCGAGAAGGAAACCGACAUCAUCCAUUUUGCAGGUCAAAUGGAGCGUUAGAAGUGGAUCCGGUUUGGGGGUUGGGAUUUGUUGUUGGGAUUCGGUGGAGCAGAAGAGGCAGAUGAGGUGAGAGAUUGGGGGUUUAAGUGGCGGUUUGGGGGUGGAACUCGGUCUUGGUUGGAAAUGGGAUCGGAGCUGGAAUUGAGGUUGGGGAACUAGAGCAGGGAGGGAGAGAGAGAGGCAAAAAAAAAAAAAAUUAAAAAA